GAUGAACGCUGGCGGCGUGCCUAACACAUGCAAGUCGAGCGAACGCACGACCUACUUUGCUCGCUUGCGGGCGCGGGGCACGGGUGAGUGACAUGUGGCGAAACGACCUAUAUGGCGGGGAUAACUGUGGGAAACCUGACCUAAUACCGGAUAAUAUAUUGAAGCGCAAAGCUCAAUAGUGAAAGACGGUGUGGCAGUAACGUAUAGAUGGACCCGCGCCGCAUUAGCUAGUUGGUAAGGUAACGGCUUACCAAGGCAACGAUGCGUAGCCGACCUGAGAGGAUGAUCCGCCACACUGGAACUGAGACACGGCCCAGACUCCUACGGGAGGCAGCAGUAGGGAAUUUUGCACAAAGGGCGCAAGCCUGAUCCAGCCACGCCGCGUGAGUGAAGAAGGCCUUCGGGUUGUAAAGCUCUUUUAGUUGGGAAGAAAACGUGCCUACUUAUACAUGCUGGGGAUGACGGUACCUGCAGAGAAAGCCCCGGCUAACUACGUG
rnacentral:rRNA from 1 species